rnacentral:rRNA from 1 species
AACGAACGCUGGCGGCAUGCCUAACACAUGCAAGUCGAACGAGACCUUCGGGUCUAGUGGCGCACGGGUGCGUAACGCGUGGGAACCUGCCCUUAGGUUCGGAAUAACUCCCCGAAAGGGGUGCUAAUACCGGAUAAUGUCUUCGGACCAAAGAUUUAUCGCCUUUGGAUGGGCCCGCGUUGGAUUAGCUAGUUGGUAGGGUAAAAGCCUACCAAGGCGACGAUCCAUAGCUGGUCUGAGAGGAUGAUCAGCCACACUGGGACUGAGACACGGCCCAGACUCCUACGGGACGCAGCAGUGGAGAAUAUUGUACAAUGGGCGAAAGCCUGAUCCGGCAAUGCCGCGUGAGUGAUGAAGGCCUUAGUGUUGUAAAUCUCUUUUACCCGAGAUGAUAAUGACAGUACCGGGAGAAUAAGCUCCGGCUAACUCCGUG